UACGGAGGGUGCAAGCGUUAUCCGGAUUCACUGGGUUUAAAGGGUGCGUAGGUGGGUAAGUAAGUCAGUGGUAAAAUCUCCGGGCUUAACCCGGAACUGCCAUUGAUACUAUUUGUCUUGAAUACUGUGGAGGUCAGCGGAAUAUGUCAUGUAGCGGUGAAAUGCUUAGAUAUGACAUAGAACACCAAUUGCGAAGGCAGCUGGCUACACAAAUAUUGACACUGAGGCACGAAAGCGUGGGGAUCAAACAGG
rnacentral:rRNA from 1 species